CUUAUAUAGCUUAUAUAAAGUAUUACAGUGAAGUUGUAAUGAAAAAUUUUAUUUUUUAAGUAU
rnacentral:tRNA from 1 species